rnacentral:rRNA from 1 species
ACGCUCGACACCUACGGGAGGCAGCAGUGGGGAAUAUUGCACAAUGGGGGAAACCCUGAUGCAGCGACGCCGCGUGGAGGAAGAAGGUCUUCGGAUUGUAAACUCCUGUUGUUGGGAAAAAGAGGAUGGUACCCAACAAGGAAGUGACGGCUAACUACGUGCCAGAAGCCGCGGUAAUCUGAGCGGGCUGGCAAGGC